CUUGCCUACCACCAUGUAAGACAUCCCUUUGUUCUUCCUUUGCCAGCUGCCAUGAUUGUGAGGCCUCCCUAAUCAUGUGGAACUUUCCCAGAAGUGGGACCCAGGCCUCCAGCUGCAGCCUGUCCAGGUUCCCUAUCGGAUUAUAAAGCUUAACAUUUUUGUGAAGGAAGAAGAAAGCCUUCCCUCUGGAGAGCGAUAAGAACAUUCCAUCCUCCUCUGGCUCCAGGGAGCCUGGGAAACAAUCACCAAAGGGAGAGAGACUCCCCAGGGACAGGCUCCCGAGGGCACGGGCAGGGCUGCCCUCUGCUGGCCCUCCCACCCGCUCCUGCCCUUCACUCCACAGAGGCCUGGUCUGGUCUGUGGUCAGCCAGUGAGAUCCUGGGGCAGGGGCCUGGGGAAGGGGGCAGGCCUCAGGCUGCACAGACUAAGGUUCCUUGGGGUGGAGGGCUUCUCCGUAGCCUGGCUCCAUAGCUGGGGGGCACAAGGAACCUUGGGCACCAGCUCUCUUGAAUGUGAAUUGUGCAAUCUUGGCAGUAAGAGCUUCCUCCAAGGAGAUCACUCAGAAGACAGGCCAUAUGGGAGUUAAUUUGCAGUGGGGUUGUGCAUAGUUAAGGGAAACCACCAAGGGGUAUGAAGCAUCCCCCGACUAGCAAUGUGGGCGAGAGUAGUUACCAGAAUGCUGUUGGAAGGAGCAGGGCCAUGGCCAAGUUGAGGCCCCUCAAGGCUGGAGUCUCUCUCUGCUCUCAGCCUCUGGUCUCCUGCAGCCGAAAGGCAAGGAUGCCUGAAUACCACAGUCCAUGAAAGUCAGCCUCCUGCACAGAGUGAGGAGAGCCGGGAUCCAGAGGAGCACACGGAGAAGAUCCACAUACAAUAAUAUCUGUUGAAUGAACGAAUAAAUGCCCUUAAGAAACCCACAUAUUGUUGAAGACAC
rnacentral:lncRNA from 10 species